ACGUAGGUCACAAGCGUUGUCCGGAAUUACUGGGUGUAAAGGGAGCGCAGGCGGGAAGACAAGUUGGAAGUGAAAUCUAUGGGCUCAACCCAUAAACUGCUUUCAAAACUGUUUUUCUUGAGUAGUGCAGAAGUAGGCGGAAUUCCCGGUGUAGCGGUGGAAUGCGUAGAUAUCGGGAGGAACACCAGUGGCGAAGGCGGCCUACUGGGCACCAACUGACGCUGAGGCUCGAAAGUGUGGGUAGCAAACAG
rnacentral:rRNA from 1 species